rnacentral:rRNA from 1 species
GAUCCUGGCUCAGAUUGAACGCUGGCGGCAGGCUUAACACAUGCAAGUCGAGCGGAAACGAUGAUAGCUUGCUAUCAGGCGUCGAGCGGCGGACGGGUGAGUAAUACUUAGGAAUCUACCUAGUAGUGGGGGAUAGCACGGGGAAACUCGUAUUAAUACCGCAUACGACCUACGGGAGAAAGGGGGCAGUUUACUGCUCUCGCUAUUAGAUGAGCCUAAGUCGGAUUAGCUAGAUGGUGGGGUAAAGGCCUACCAUGGCGACGAUCUGUAGCUGGUCUGAGAGGAUGAUCAGCCACACCGGGACUGAGACACGGCCCGGACUCCUACGGGAGGCAGCAGUGGGGAAUAUUGGACAAUGGGGGGAAACCUGAUCAGCCAUGCCGCGUGUGUGAAGAAGGCCUUUUGGUUGUAAAGCACUUUAAGCAGUGAAGAAGACUCCGUGGUUAAUACCCACGGACGAUGACAUUAGCUGCAGAAUAAGCACCGGCUAACUCUGUGCCAGCAGCCGCGGUAAUACAGAGGGUGCAAGCGUUAAUCGGAAUUACUGGGCGUAAAGGGAGCGUAGGUGGCUCUAUAAGUCAGAUGUGAAAUCCCCGGGCUCAACCUGGGAACUGCAUCUGAAACUGUAGAGCUAGAGUAUGUGAGAGGAAGGUAGAAUUCCAGGUGUAGCGGUGAAAUGCGUAGAGAUCUGGAGGAAUACCGAUGGCGAAGGCAGCCUUCUGGCAUAAUACUGACACUGAGGCUCGAAAGCGUGGGUAGCAAACAGGAUUAGAUACCCUGGUAGUCCACGCCGUAAACGAUGUCUACUAGUCGUUGGGUCCCUUGAGGACUUAGUGACGCAGCUAACGCAAUAAGUAGACCGCCUGGGGAGUACGGCCGCAAGGUUAAAACUCAAAUGAAUUGACGGGGGCCCGCACAAGCGGUGGAGCAUGUGGUUUAAUUCGAUGCAACGCGAAGAACCUUACCUGGUCUUGACAUAUCUAGAAUCCUGCAGAGAUGCGGGAGUGCCUUCGGGAAUUAGAAUACAGGUGCUGCAUGGCUGUCGUCAGCUCGUGUCGUGAGAUGUUGGGUUAAGUCCCGCAACGAGCGCAACCCUUGUCCUUAGUUACCAGCGGGUUAAGCCGGGAACUCUAAGGAUACUGCCAGUGACAAACUGGAGGAAGGCGGGGACGACGUCAAGUCAUCAUGGCCCUUACGACCAGGGCUACACACGUGCUACAAUGGUAGGUACAGAGGGCAGCUACACAGCGAUGUGAUGCGAAUCUCAAAAAGCCUAUCGUAGUCCAGAUUGGAGUCUGCAACUCGACUCCAUGAAGUAGGAAUCGCUAGUAAUCGCGGAUCAGAAUGCCGCGGUGAAUACGUUCCCGGGCCUUGUACACACCGCCCGUCACACCAUGGGAGUUGAUUGCACCAGAAGUGGUUAGCCUAACCUUCGGGAAGGCGAUCACCACGGUGUGGUUGAUGACUGGGGUGAAGUCGU